rnacentral:rRNA from 1 species
ACGGGAGGCAGCAGUGGGGGAUAUUGGUCAAUGGGGGCAACCCUGAUCCAGCGACGCCGCGUGAGUGAAGAAGUAUUUCGGUAUGUAAAGCUCUAUCAGCAGGGAAGAAAAAAUCAAAAUUGACAGUACCUGACUAAGAAGCCCCGGCUAACUACGUGCCAGCAGCCGCGGUAAUACGUAGGGGGCAAGCGUUAUCCGGAUUUACUGAGUGUAAAGGGAGUGUAGGCGGCGAAGCAAGUCAGAUGUGAAAGCCCGGGGCUCAACUCCGGGACUGCAUUUGAAACUGUGUGGCUAGAGUACUGGAGAGGCAAGCGGAAUUCCUAGUGUAGCGGUGAAAUGCGUAGAUAUUAGGAAGAACACCAGUGGCGAAGGCGGCUUGCUGGACAGAGACUGACGCUGAGGCUCGAAAGCGUGGGGAGCAAACAGGAUUAGAUACCCUGGUA